CGAGUGGCGAACGGGUGAGUAACACGUGGGUGAUCUGCCCUGCACUUCGGGAUAAGCCUGGGAAACUGGGUCUAAUACCGGAUAGGACGAUGGUUUGGAUGCCAUUGUGGAAAGUUUUUCGGUGUGGGAUGAGCUCGCGGCCUAUCAGCUUGUUGGUGGGGUAAUGGCCUACCAAGGCGUCGACGGGUAGCCGGCCUGAGAGAGUGUACGGCCACAUUGGGACUGAGAUACGGCCCAG
rnacentral:rRNA from 1 species